CCUCUCCUAGACUUCAUUUAAGGGCUGACCACCACUAAGACAGUAUCUCUUGGAGAUUGCUCUUCUGUGGAGAUUGGAUAGCUAGGCUCAGCAUUUUCCAGCCUCAGCAUUUUCCAGCCAGACUGAAGGCAUCCAUAUUGCAGCAGAUGCACCAGUCUUUUGCACUGAUCGUAAAGGCACAGUCUGCAAAGCAUGUGCAAAAAGCUGCAAGAAGCAUGGCCUGAGCACAGGUGUUCUGAGUUGGAGAAUAGCUCUAUAGAGCUGCCUGAGUUUCUCGGGGCUGCACUGAGCAUAAGUGAACAUGUGCCUAUCACCCUGCAGGUUGGGGGAAGAGAGGCUCCACUGGCUGCCUGAUCCCAGAAAGCAGAGGUGUUCUCCUGACUUCCCUGCAGUGGUACCUUCCCUCAUCUUCCCUGCUGUCUCCAGCUGCUUUUAGAUUACUUUCCACCCUUCAGGCAAAGCUUGAGUGACUCUCAUCAUUGCAUACCAUUGUACUGAGUGGCAUGGAGUUUUCUACCUUUGGUUUUUAAAGCCUAGGCUGAAAACUGCAGAGUAUGUGCUACAUGUGUGGUGGUAGCACCAAGGAAGUGGAUAACUUUUGGGAUGGAGCUGUUCUUGGUUUUCUAAUGAGAAUGUAAUGAGCCAAGUUCAACAGCAGGAUUGUGUUUGUCUUCAAAAAUAACUGAGUGAUAUACAGAGGGAGUUGGAAGAAGAUCAGGGAAGCGCAGGAGCAACCAAAGGAAAUGGCAGCAGCAACAUCUUGUGGUGAGACCAGCCUGCCCAAGGAGUCCUCCCUCAACAGAUCUGGAUUGCUGCCACCCAUAAUGGAAAAAACAGGGUCUCCCACUGAAAUGGUGGAGGAGGGAACAGAGAGCCAAGAAGAGCUGGGCCGAACAAGACGUGUCAAGUUCCUCGAUGAAGAAGGAGGAGCAGAGGAAGCCCAGCGUGAGGGUGCGCUGCCCAAGCUGCAGGAAGCCAAGGCCUCACGCCACCAGGUGGUCUCGGAGCAGCCAACAUCUUUCACUGAUGAGCCACCAUUGUCCUUGAGGCCUGCGUCCAGCCUAUCCUUAGAGACCCCAGGCAAACCAUCCAUGCUGGCGCUUCGGGCAUGCGACUCAGUGAGACUUCUCAGGAAGAGGCCUGCAUGAUGCUGCAGGCAUGCUCCUUGCCAUCUGCACAUAUGUGGGCCAGCUUCGCACUGCUGGGCACAUCAUCUUGCCUGGGCACUGCAGGUCCUCACAUGAUAGGCUGCAGACACAGCAGGGCCAAUCCUGGCUGAUUGUGCAGCUCAUUCUCACUUGGGAUGGGAAGAGGGAGUCCAGUGGGACACAACUGUACAAAGGAGUUGGGCUUGGUUACAAAUGUUGCCCUGAUCUGUUGGCCUUGUCCGUCCCCAGUUGGAGGGGUUACAAAGUACAUGGAGGGUACAACCAAUAAGAGGAGGAAAGUGAGAAGUAAUCACUGUACAUCUGACAACAAGUAAUAGCAAUAAAUAACCCAGUCCAACCAAUAUGGGUAUUUGUGUCAGCUGCUUUCUGCAGCCAGGAUCCAGAAUGGAAUUCUUCGGUGCAGGUUGUGGCGUUUAUGAACAGCCACACCAUGUUACACUGCAGUUCAUGCACCAGAAGCACAUCUGGUCCCAUUGGGCACUAUGUGGACUUGCCCUGCGGUGUUCUCAAAGGUGAUUCAGUGUCUCGAGAACUUUCCACUUGAGCAUUUCCAAAGCAGUUCAAAUGCUGAGAGAUAGAAAUGCUGGUUUGGAAGUUCAAGAACUGUGAUGGUCUGCUGAACUUCUCACAGGGCAGUGUGUAGGAUACCCCACAGUAAGAACCAUAAGGGGGGUAAUCCCACAAACACACACAUCUCUUGUCAACACUCAGACCAUUUCCAACAGCCACCUUUUGGAUGCAGCUCCUGGACAGAUGUGACACAGAACAGCAUCGGUGCAAAGGGCUCUAGGAAGGAUUUCUUUUGUGAGCACAUCUAACAGAUAUCAGUUGUAUGCCUACGGGUUUCAGAGAUUCUGGAAGCCCCCUGAUUAAAGGAGUUGUCAUCUCUUGAUCAACAGGCAUCAUCAUCAGGGGUGCAGGACAUGGUGUGCAUGGCAUGGAGCUGGGGAAGCCUCCCCAGCAUUAAUGGGCAUGAGUAUCAAAACGGAAGUAAUAGAAUGAGCAAGUGUUGUUCGGGUAAAGGCUUUGGGU